rnacentral:rRNA from 1 species
AGAGUUUGAUCAUGGCUCAGAUUGAACGCUGGCGGCGUGCUUAACACAUGCAAGUCGAACGAGAAAGGGACUUCGGUCCUGAGUAGAGUGGCGCACGGGUGAGUAACGCGUAGGUAAUCUACCUCUGCAUCUGGGAUAACACUUCGAAAGGGGUGCUAAUACCGGAUACACUUAUCAAUCGCAAGGUUGAUAAGGAAAGGAGACCUCUCCUUGGAAGUUUCUGUGUAGAGAUGAGCCUGCGUCCCAUUAGCUAGUUGGCAGGGUAAUGGCCUACCAAGGCGACGAUGGGUAGCGGGUCUGAGAGGAUGAUCCGCCACACUGGAACUGAAACACGGACCAGACUCCUACGGGAGGCAGCAGUGAGGAAUAUUGGACAAUGGGCGCAAGCCUGAUCCAGCGACGCCGCGUGAGUGAUGAAGGCCUUUGGGUCGUAAAGCUCUGUCAGCAGGGAAGAACGGCCGUGUGGUUAAUACCCAUGCGGAUUGACGGUACCUGCAGAGGAAGCACCGGCUAACUCCGUGCCAGCAGCCGCGGUAAUACGGAGGGUGCGAGCGUUAAUCGGAAUUACUGGGCGUAAAGGGCGCGUAGGCGGCUGAUCAAGUCAGAUGUGAAAGCCCACGGCUUAACCGUGUGAAGUGCAUCUGAAACUGGUCGGCUUGAGUAUCGGAGAGGAAAGUGGAAUUCCCGGUGUAGAGGUGAAAUUCGUAGAUAUCGGGAGGAAUACCGGUGGCGAAGGCGACUUUCUGGACGAAUACUGGCGCUGAGGCGCGAAAGCGUGGGUAGCAAACAGGAUUAGAUACCCUGGUAGUUCACGCCCUAAACGAUGUCAACUAGUUGUUGGGGAGGGAGACCUCCUUAGUAACGCAGCUAACGCGUGAAGUUGACCGCCUGGGGAGUACGGUCGCAAGAUUAAAACUCAAAGGAAUUGACGGGGGCCCGCACAAGCGGUGGAUUAUGUGGAUUAAUUCGAUGCAACGCGAAAAACCUUACCUACCCUUGACAUGUACGGAACUUGCCAGAGAUGGCUUGGUGCUCGAAAGAGAGCCGUAACACAGGUGCUGCAUGGCUGUCGUCAGCUCGUGUCGUGAGAUGUUGGGUUAAGUCCCGCAACGAGCGCAACCCUUGCCAUUAGUUGCUACAUUUAGUUGAGCACUCUAAUGGGACUGCCGGUGACAAACCGGAGGAAGGUGGGGAUGACGUCAAGUCCUCAUGGCCCUUAUGGGUAGGGCUUCACACGUAAUACAAUGGUCGGUACAGAGGGUUGCCAACCCGCGAGGGGGAGCCAAUCCCAGAAAGCCGAUCGUAGUCCGGAUCGGAGUCUGCAACUCGACUCCGUGAAGUCGGAAUCGCUAGUAAUCGCGGAUCAGCAUGUCGCGGUGAAUACGUUCCCGGGCCUUGUACACACCGCCCGUCACACCAUGGGAGUGGGUAUUACCAGAAGCAGGUAGCUUAACCUUCGGGAGGGCGCUUGCCACGGUAGGAUUCAUGACUGGGGUGAAGUCGUAACAAGGUA